UGAGGAAUAUUGGACAAUGGGCGCAAGCCUGAUCCAGCCAUGCCGCGUGCAGGAUGACGGUCCUAUGGAUUGUAAACUGCUUUUGUACAGGAAGAAACAGUUCUACGUGUAGAACCUUGACGGUACUGUAAGAAUAAGGAUCGGCUAACUCCGUGCCAGCAGCCGCGGUAAUACGGAGGAUCCAAGCGUUAUCCGGAAUCAUUGGGUUUAAAGGGUCCGUAGGCGGUUAGAUAAGUCAGUGGUGAAAGCCCAUCGCUCAACGGUGGAACGGCCAUUGAUACUGUCUGACUUGAAUUAUUAGGAAGUAACUAGAAUAUGUAGUGUAGCGGUGAAAUGCUUAGAGAUUACAUGGAAUACCAAUUGCGAAGGCAGGUUACUACUAAUGGAUUGACGCUGAUGGACGAAAGCGUGGGUAGCGAACAGGAUUAGAUACCCCCGUAUUCCCUGAGCGGGCUGGCAAGGCGCAU
rnacentral:rRNA from 1 species